GCUGGGCGUGGUGGCACAUGCCUGUAGUCCCAGCUACUUGGGAGGCUGAGGCAGGAGAAUCGCUUCAACCCAGGAGAUGGAGGUUGUAGUGAGCCGAGAUCGCUCCACUGCACUCCAGCCUGGCGACAGAGUGAGACUCCAUCUCAAAAAAAAAAUCUUUCUUUUUCUAGGGACGGGUCUCGCUCUCUCACCCAGGCUGGAGUGCAGUGGUGUGAUCAUAACUCACUACAGCCUCGACCUCCUGGGCUUAAGUGAUCCUCCCACC
rnacentral:lncRNA from 10 species